GGCCAUGGCUCAGUGAUAAAGCUUCCGCUUUACCUGCAGAAGGUCCCAGGAUCAAUCCCAAGCAUCACCA
rnacentral:tRNA from 1 species